CGCUGCACUGCGCAGCAGAUCAUCGCACCACUACCAGGGCGGGAGCUAAAGCUUAGGAUUAGUCUAUACGCCGACGACGCCGUCAUCUUCAUAAAUCCUGUGAGGGAAGAGAUAGAUGCACUCAUGGAAAUCCUGCGGGAUUUUGGCGCUGCCUCCGGAUCACACAUCAACCCAUCAAAGUCAAUGGCCUUACCCAUUAGAUGUGAGAAUAUAGACCUAAGGUAUGUGUUGCAAAAUUUUGGAGGGGCAGAGGGGCAAUUCCCGACCACUUAUUUAGGCUUGCCGCUGACACUAGCUAGGCUACGACUGGAAAACCUACAAUUCAUCAUUGACAGGACCAAAGCUCGACUUGCGGGUUGGAAAGGAAAACUCCUGCCGAUAGCUAGUAGGCGAGUACUGGUCCGAUGUGUCCUCAGCGCUAUGCCUACCUUUGCUCUAACUGUUCUCAAAGUGCCAAAGAAGCUACUCAGGGAGAUCAACAGAUGCCGGCGUAGGUUCCUUUGGAAGCAAGACGAGGCGAUCACAGGCGGUAGCUGCAAGGUUAACUGGUCCGCGGUGUGCACUCCUACAUCACAUGGAGGACUGGGGAUCCUCGAUCUCGAGCGUUUCAGCCGCGCCCUUAGAUUACGAUGGCUCUGGAUAGCCUGGACGGACCCUGAGCGGCCCUGGGUCGGCAUGGAGCCACCAUGCAGCAGCAUCGACAAAGCCCUUUUCACAGCGGCGACCACAGUCACCAUCAGAGAUGGCGCGAAGGCACUCUUCUGGCACUCCCCUUGGUGCGGGCCGUGCACCCUGGCCAGUUCCUUCCCUCUCCUCUACUCGCACUCCAACCGGAAAAACAGGACGGUGCGCGAGGCUCUCACACAUGAUACUUGGAUAAAAGACUUGCGGCACAGAAACCUACAACCUCUGCUACCAGAAUUUGUCAGGCUGCACCGCAAGAUCGCGCCGACAGUGCUAACAGAAGGGAGUACUGACCAGAUUAGGUGGAAUCUAGAGGCUAGGGGACAAUACUCGGCAAGCUCGGCUUACGCCGUGCAAUUCCAGGGCAGAUUACUAGCUGAUUGGCACAAGUUGAUUUGGGAAGCAAAGGUUCCUGGAUGCAUUAAGAUCUUCUCCUGGCUCCUACUGAAAAACCGUCUAUGGACUUGUGACAGGCUACAAAGGUGUGGUUGGCCGAACUGCUAUUUCUGCCCGCUCUGUGUACGCAACCUGGAGACAGCGCACCACCUCUUCUGGAGCUACCCACUAGCCCGGGAGGUGUGGGAGAAGGUAGCCGCAAGACGUGGGUGUCGGCGCUUGCACCCACGGCAACAGGUGCAAGAUGAAAGCGCCAUUGCCAUACUCCAACGGAUGGCUGCAAAUACCCGGCCAGCACAACAAAGGGCCAGCAACGCCACCAUGCUGUUAACUUGCUGGGAAAUCUGGCAAGAAAGGAAUAGGUGUGUGUUCAAAGGAAAGACAGCUUCAGCGCAGGACAUCAUCAAGGCCAUUGAACAUGCCAUCGAGCUUUGA
rnacentral:rRNA from 1 species